UACGUAGGGUGCAAGCGUUGUCCGGAAUUAUUGGGCGUAAAGGGCUCGUAGGCGGUCCAUCACGUCGGGAGUGAAAAGCUGGGGCUUAACCCCAGUCCUGCUUCCGAUACGGGUGGACUAGAGGUAGGCAGGGGAGAACGGAAUUCCUGGUGUAGCGGUGAAAUGCGCAGAUAUCAGGAGGAACACCGGUGGCGAAGGCGGGACUCUGGGCCGAUACUGACGCUGAGGAGCGAAAGCGUGGGGAGCGAACAGG
rnacentral:rRNA from 1 species